UAAAGAAUAAUUAUGCACGCAUGCUUCUCGUUCCGGAGGAUGAGACGGACUCCCGAUGGGAGUCGUCUUUAUCCGCGACUAUGUGUAGGAGUUUGGCACCCGGAGCACAGGACUCCCGCCCCUCGGUCCUAUAAAUCUCAUCCCCAGCUUCCCUCCGACCUCCACCACCGAAGUUCCGGCAUCAAGGGUGAAGAUCACUUGUGUCUUCCCUCUUCUUCGUCUCAAUUGCAGUCCGCCACCGUCAGAAACUGCAAGCCUAACAUGACCGGAAUCAAGAAUUAAGAUGGCGGGGAGAAUAUGCUUCGGGGGAGUGAUUAGUAGCAAAGUUUGAUUUUUUUUUUUAUAUAUUAUAGAUGAGGGUUUAUUAAAGUCUAAUGUAAGAGCUUGGAUGUUUCUAAACUUUUAUGAGACAUUAAAAUUUGUAUUUUAGUUAUUUAAAUUUGAAUUUAUUUAAUUGAUUAUUUAUUUUUCUGCUUGUUUUCUGAUAUCGUGAUGAGAUGUUUUACAUACUUGUGGAGAGAGUUCUCCAUGAGUAUGUGGCGAUUACCAUGACUUCAAGCUCGCAAUCUCGGGUCGGGGCAUGGCAAUAUUACUCAUCAACCACCUUCACUAAUGGUUCUCAAUGUGCCAUAUGGUGCAUAAUCAAGAUGUGAUAUAAACAAUAUCCCCUGUAUCCCAUUGGCCAAUGGCUUGGAGGAUGAUGAGUUGGACACGUUACCUCUUCUUAAUCCAGAUUGUAUUUGGCUGAUUUUGUUCUCGAAUACUUAGUGGAGCUGAAUCAUCCCUUCCUCUAUAGGAAAUCAUCACCUUCUGCCCUGUGCUUACAUCUCUAUCAGUCACUCUCAGGGGCACGCACGACAGCCCAAGACAAUCCGUAAUCAAGUGGGGCCCCUUGUCCCAAAUCUUCUCUUAAUUAUCCUCUUCUAAAUCAUGAACCUCGAAUCUUCUUCCACCCAAGCCAUGUCCAAGCAAGUCGAGAAAGGAAAGAGCAGCUAUCAAGCACUGAUCUUCUCGAAUCAAUCAAUAUGCAGUUUCAAGUUUAUCCUUGUGGGAGGUCCAUCAACUGCAGAUCCGAUUUGAAAGGGCGAUAGCUAUCCUGGCUCAGAUUGAUUAUGUAGACUUCGAAGGUGAAAAUGAUUCCUCUGCCUAGCGUGCAAGUGAUGCAACGUCCGCUUUCCUUUCGAAUAAAGAUAUUCUUCAAGAACUCUGCAACACUAUUAUGAGAAAUUUUAUAGUAUUAAGUAUACUAGGAACUUGGGCUAUUAAUAAAUCUCAAAGGUGAAUGGGUGAACAUGGAUUGUUGGAUGACUUCAAGGCAACGUUCAGGCUUAGGCCUGGUAAUGUGACUAGGAGAUUGCUAGGUUGACAUUUAGAUCGGUCAGCCUGUCGUAGGCAAUUUUAUGAGUGGUUGGCUAGGCAUCAGUCUCCUGGACCACUCACCAAAUUCGGUAUAGCCAACUUGAUAGCUCUGUUCUUGUUCAUUAUGGGCAGUAAAGUUACCUUGACUGGAUGUUAUUGUUUGGAUGUGGAAUGGUGGGUUUACUAGAGAGCAGUGUUUAUGGAUCUUGAUUACAAGGGUGAGUCUAUGCUGUGUUUCAUUUGAUAGGUGCUGUUGAAGUCAUCUAGUUCGACUAUCUGAGACUGAAGCUAAACCUUCCACCCAAAAAGGAAGAAUGCUUUAGCUCAAUGCGUUUCUCCAGCCUCUAGUACUAGGCAGCACCUUCAAAGUAUGAAGGCAUGCAUGCAUCACCAAUACCUCCCAAGGAUGAAGAGGUUCCUCCAACUGAAGAAGUGGCUCUUUCAAUUAAGGAUCUAUGGGCCAACCCAGGUCACUCGAAGAGCCUCUUCAUAAGUCUUCUUGAUUCCAUUGUAUUCUCGCACCACUUUUGGUUGCAAGCUAUAGGAAAAACAAGUCAAUCCUCCCUCAAUUUGAUCACUAAUGUGAAAGCGAAGCUCAUAGCUUCUUUGAAAUCACCUUCGUCAGGCGAUCGACCUUCACGAAAGCUCUUUGUCAAGGGCCACAGAGCUCGUCGGACUCUCUAAAACCUUGCUGGAUUUCUCUUGCCAAUCUCAUCAGUUCCUCAAGGUUAACCAAAGCUCUAUCGGCGAUCGGUACCCUUCUAUACUCUGUUCUUUCCAUUGGUUGUCUCACUAACUUGACCGAUCUCAAAGAGAAACUCAGUGGUUUGGCCUAUACCCAUCAAUCUCUAAUGUUUUUCAGAAGAAGUUUGAUAACACGACCUCCCAAAGGGCUGUAUUAGAGCAGAAGAAGGCCACCUCGACGAAGAGUUGGAGAGCCACCUUACCAGGGCUCGUGCCGCCAUAAAGAUUCUAGAACUGUCGAGUUAAGAAUGAACAUAUCCACGAUGAGAAAUGUUGCCCAGUGAUACAACCUAAGAGGGAGGGUAAAUUGGUUCUCAAAAAUUUUACAAU